GGGGCCACCCCCAAACUGAUUGUUCAAUAUUCAGUGACAGCUCAGCUCUGCAGGACUCUCUUGUUUCAAUGCCCCAGGUCAGCAGUGGUACAAAACAUCCCCUGCUCUGGCCAUGAUCCAGGUGGGAGCUGUCAUUCCCUGGGGAUUGAACAGCAGCUUGUUGAACAGCUACCAGGAGACAGGUCCUGCCAGCAGCCACCAAACAGCAACUUGUGUGGGAGAGAGCAAAGUGCCCCAAAUCAGGGUCAGCAGGGAAAGGGUCUCACCGAGUUCACACUUGGAAUUGGAAGGAAGGAAGAGAACCCUCCUGCCACUCCUUUUACUCCUCCUUCCACAACCUACACUUCCCUCUGGGAAACAUCCUUGUCUACAUUUGAAUUCCUGAGAUUGAAGAAUGAUUGCACAGCCAGACCAAGAGGAACACUCCUGAUUCCUCAAGGUCACCCAUGGUUUCACAGCCUGACCACUACUCUUCUUCCAGCAAGGAAAAGACAGAAUUCAUUAGUUUUGCUUCUCAACUGGCACAUUUUAGCUGCUCUUUGUCAACCUCAAGCACAGAACACCAUUGAUGAACACCACACGGACUCUGAGCUCACAAAGGGACAGGGCAGAGCUAGUAAAAUACAUUAUCUACAAGAAAUAGGUGGUUUCUUUUACAAAUUCUGUGCAAGAUAGAAAUAGUUCAAUGGCCUCAAAGUCAGUAUAAUUAAUUACAAUUGGGGCUUUGAUACAGUGAUACUUUAGGUUUGAAAAGAUUUGUGUUUUGCGUUUUAGGCCCCAAAUCCUGAGUCAUAUUGAGAGAAAUGUGAAUCUGUUGGUGUUCCAGUACAAUGAGUUACAGGUCAAAGGUUUAUAAACACACACAGGAGAAGCCUGAGAGUAGGAAGGAUUUUAAAAUCAGCUAUAAAAGAAGAAAAUGGGAAGGUUUUUUUUUCCUGUUAACCCUGCGUUUGAGUUGGCACUAAUUUGCCUCAGAAGUCCUUGGCAGCUUUACUAAAUACCUACUCCUAAUUAUAAAUGCUGUGACCUAGAUGAGGGUUUGCAGGCAGGACUCUGCUACAGGAGGAUUGAUUUUCAUUUAGAGCAUCCCCUCAGACUUUUCCAUGGAUGUCAGUAAGAUGCACCAUAUGGCUUGAAACACUACUUUAGGAAUAUAUAAACUAUGUUCUCUUGCAUGCACUUCUCAGAAGGUUUUAAGGAUCGAGUCUGAGGA
rnacentral:lncRNA from 1 species